rnacentral:rRNA from 1 species
UACGAAGGGGGCGAGCGUUGUUCGGAUUUACUGGGCGUAAAGGGCGCGUAGGCGGCGGGUCAAGUCGAGUGUGAAAGCCCCGGGCUCAACCGUGUGGCUUGCAGUCGAUACGGGCAGGCUAGAGUUCGGUAGGGGAGACUGGAAUUCCUGGUGUAGCGGUGAAAUGCGCAGAUAUCAGGAGGAACACCGGUGGCGAAGGCGGGUCUCUGGGCCGAUACUGACGCUGAGGAGCGAAAGCGUGGGGAGCGAACAGG